rnacentral:rRNA from 1 species
UACGUAGGGGGCAAGCGUUAUCCGGAUUUACUGGGUGUAAAGGGAGCGUAGGUGGCAAGGCAAGCCAGAAGUGAAAACCCGGGGCUUAACCCCGCGGAUUGCUUUUGGAACUGUCUGGCUGGAGUGCAGGAGGGGCAGGCGGAAUUCCUGGUGUAGCGGUGAAAUGCGUAGAUAUCAGGAGGAACACCGGUGGCGAAGGCGGCCUGCUGGACUGUAACUGACACUGAGGCUCGAAAGCGUGGGGAGCAAACAGG